AUGAACUGAAGCAAGUGGUUUCAUCCAACAUUCAAGAUACAUGAGAAAUAUUUGCUUUAUCGGAAGCGUAAUCAACCGUUAGGCACGGUUCUCUCUGUGAUAACUAAACGAGCAUGAAAACUAGAAAAGUCAUAAUGAUGCAGAUUAGAGUAUACGGUGGAGUUAACCAAAUUUAAACGACUGAGGAAAUUACGAAGACCAAAAGAAUUUGAAAUUCCGGAAAAAAUAGAAGUGGACAACUCUAAAUAAUAUGUGUAGCAGAGAAAAAGAUGGUAUGAUGUAACAUCUUCAGAACAUUGUUCAAGAUUACAGCUAGAAUUAACACGUAAUGGUUAAUUGAUAGCACAAGAUUAACACGGAGAGUAACUAAAUUCUUUUCGUUUUGACCUUCAAAAUGACGGAAGCCAAUACACCACCUCCCAAUCUGAUGGGAUCGGUCGAGGAAAACACCAAAAUGAAGGAACAUUUGGAUAAUCACACAGGAUAGAUAACCACGGCAAAUUUAAAGUCUGACGAUGCACUUAGUUCUUGUCACUUCAUAUCAUCGAGAUGGGCUAGCUAAUAAGGUAAACCAUAAGACUAGCUGACUUCAACCCUGCAGUUAGGUCACAAUGUUGAAUCUGCUGAACCCUUGAAACUAGAAUAUAGCGAUGAUGGGAACUGCUGCUUUAAAGAAGAAACUACCAUGUCUUCAGGAUCACAGAAUGGAAACAAUCAGAUGCAAAUUGAAUGUCCUUCCUGGCAUGUAACUUGUCCUCUUACAUGUAUCAUUGAAAAUGUAUUUUGAUUUCAGACAGGAGUUGUAAACAUUGCUGCCUUGAUUUCUUGCCUACCAGGUAUAACAUUGGUAGCAUGUCACAAGCAUUGUUAGGUGUGAUGAAAGCCAAUUUAUCUUUAUUAUUGAAAAACACCAUAUGAAACAACAUAAUAAUUUUGGUGAGGUUAUGAAAAUUUGGAUGUAUGAAAUAAAGUAUGGUAUAUA